UGUUAAGGUGGGGAUUUUGUUCCCACACAAGACUCCUUGCUUCUCCCUAGUUCCUGUCCUCGGUCAGUCCAGCCCUCGUCUCUACGUCUCAGAGCCCCUGUGGAGACGGCGUUAGCAAGAAUGAAGCAGCACCAGUGAGGCUCGCAGUUCUUUCUGAACACUGUCCCAUAAGUAGCAGGGGACCAGGAGAGCGCUCCCCACCGCACCCUCCCAGCAGCUCAGCUAAGCCCCUGAUUCCAAGAAGGCAGCAGGAGGUCUCUGAGGGGCUCUGGGAGGCCAGCCAUACAAGAAACCUUUGGCUUUUACAGGUGGUUCUCGUGUGCUUCUUUAAAAGGAAAGAAGCUGAGUUUUUUUAAUAUAUAUUAAGAAUAUAUUAAGAAAAAAUACAGGACUGACCCUCAGGCAUCUUCCCUGACUCCCCAGCAAAUCCUAGAAGAGAGUGUGUAAGGCUGAGGGAGCUGUGUAAGGCAGAUGGAGAUGUAGCCAAGAACUAGCAUCUUACUGGCUGGGACCAGCAGGGGGCGCUCAGCCUGCAGCAGGCAGGAGCCCCGCUUGCCUUUCUGCGCUGGUCAUUUCCCCCGUUUAGGUCUCAUGGCACACUGGCUCUUCUAGGAGAUAAACUCUCUGUCUCUUAAUUGGGGGCAGUGAAAAGAGCAGUGCGGGACCUCCUGCUGCCCUGCUAGCUGGUCAUGGAGGAUAGUGCCAGGCAGGAUUCUGGAAAUGCAGUGCACUUCAGCUGAUCCUGAGAGGAGCACUCUGGACACCAGGAGCGCGAGAUUCCCCAGAAACUAACUGUCUUACCUUUUGCCCAAAGACACAUGCUCGGUAUUCGGGGCAUUCCCUCCCAUGAACCCUGAUACUUCUGUUACCUCAGGGCCUUGGUACCUGCAUACUGCCACAGAACUGGGGCGGGGGGAGGGACCUAUUUUUAAAUAACUGUUCAAAGUUGGGGGACUUUUUUAAAAGUAAGAAAUAGGAAAGCUAUUCUGUAUUGCACCUUUUCACAAUUUAAUACAUUUUCUUACAUUUUCCUGUGAUUUUUGAAAUUAAACCAUUGUGUGUCUUGUCAUGUCCUAGUUGAGCUGCUGGCCAGCAGCUUCCUUCAGGAAGAUCUGGAACGAACGUGUCUGUUGCCUUGUUGCCUGCUGGAGGGGGGCCUGGAGGGCUGCUGGGAACUAGUUUCUGUACACACUUGUUUGGCCUUUUCUGUAGUUGAUGCUGUAAACUCUAUGGCUUUUUGAAAAACAGUUUCAUGUUUUUAUUUAGUAUUGGAAAUCCAAUACACUUUUUUUAAUUCAAUCAAA
ensembl:lncRNA